rnacentral:rRNA from 1 species
GACGAACGCUGGCGGCGUGCUUAACACAUGCAAGUCGAACGGAAAGGCCCUGCUUUUGUGGGGUGCUCGAGUGGCGAACGGGUGAGUAACACGUGAGUAACCUGUCCUUGACUUUGGGAUAACUUCAGGAAACUGGGGCUAAUACCGGAUAGGAGCUCUUGCAGCAUGGUGGGGGUUGGAAAGUUUCGGCGGUUGGGGAUGGACUCGCGGCUUAUCAGCUUGUUGGUGGGGUAGUGGCUUACCAAGGCUUUGACGGGUAGCCGGCCUGAGAGGGUGACCGGCCACAAGGGGACUAAGGUACGGCCCAGACUCCUACGGGAGGCAGCAGUGGGGAAUAUUGCACAAUGGGCGGAAGCCUGAUGCAGCAACGCCGCGUGCGGGAUGACGGCCUUCGGGGUGUAAACCGCUGUCGCCGGUGACGAAGCGUGAGUGACGGUAAUUGGUAAAGAAGCACCGGCUAACUACGUG